AGCAAGGUAUAGUGGUUAGAGUGUUGGACUAUGACUCCAGAGACCAGGGUUCAAUUCCCAGCUCAGCCA